rnacentral:rRNA from 1 species
UACAGAGGUCCCAAGCGUUGUUCGGAUUCAUUGGGCGUAAAGGGUGCGUAGGCGGCGCGGUAAGUCGGGUGUGAAAUCUCGGGGCUUAACUCCGAAACUGCAUUCGAUACUGCCGUGCUUGAGGACUGGAGAGGAGACUGGAAUUUACGGUGUAGCGGUGAAAUGCGUAGAUAUCGUAAGGAAGACCAGUGGCGAAGGCGGGUCUCUGGACGACCCCUGACACUGAGGCACGAAAGCUAGGGGAGCAAACAGG